rnacentral:rRNA from 1 species
GAUUAUGCUCAGGACGAACGCUGGCGGCGUGCUUAACACAUGCAAGUCGAACGAGAAUCUGCGGAAAGAGGAUUCGUCCAAUUGAAGCAGAGGACAGUGGCGGACGGGUGAGUAACGCGUGAGGAACCUGCCUUUCAGAGGGGGACAACAGUUGGAAACGACUGCUAAUACCGCAUAACAUAUAGAUGUCGCAUGGCAUUUAUAUCAAAGAUUUAUCGCUGAAAGAUGG